AUUGAACGCUGGCGGCAGGCCUAACACAUGCAAGUCGAACGAGUGGCGGACGGGUGAGUAAUGUCUGGGAAACUGCCUGAUGGAGGGGGAUAACUACUGGAAACGGUAGCUAAUACCGCAUACCAUCAGAUGUGCCCAGAUGGGAUUAGCUAGUGGGUGGGGUAACGGCUCACCAAGGCGACGAUCCCUAGAUGGUCUGAGAGGAUGACCAGCCGAACUGGAACUGAUGCACGGUCCAGACGCCUACGGUAGGCAGCAGGGGGGAAUAUUGCGCAAUGGGCGCAAGGCUGAUGCAGCCAUGCCGCGUGUAUGAAGAAGGCCUUGGGGUUGUAAAGUACUUUCAGCGCGGAGGCGUUACCCGCAGAAGAAGCACCGGCUAACGCCGUGCCAGCAGCCGCGGUAAUAC
rnacentral:rRNA from 1 species